rnacentral:rRNA from 1 species
GUCGAACGCUGGCGGCGUGCUUAACACAUGCAAGUCGAACGACGUGGCGAACGGGUGAGUAACGCGUAAUCAACCUGCCCUUCAGAGGGGGACAACAGUUGGAAACGACUGCUACUACCGCAUACUGAAGGAGGGGAUUGCGUCUGAUUAGCUAGUUGGGGGGGUAAUGGCCAACCAAGGCGAUGAUCAGUAGCCGGGCUGAGAGGAUGAACGGCAACAUUGGGACUGAGACACGACCCAGACUCCUACGGGAGGCAGCAGUGGGGAAUCUUCCGCAAUGGACGAAAGUCUGACGGAGCAACGCCGCGUGAGUGAUGACGGCCUUCGGGUUGUAAAGCUCUGUUAAUCAGGACGCGGUACCGGAAUAGAAAGCCACGGCUAACUACGUGCCAGCAGCCGCGGUAAUAC